UACGUAGGGUGCGAGCGUUGUCCGGAAUUAUUGGGCGUAAAGAGCUCGUAGGCGGUCUGUCGCGUCGAUCGUGAAAAACUUGGGGCUUAACCCUGAGCUUGCGGUCGAUACGGGCAUGACUGGAGUUCGGCAGGGGAGAAUGGAAUUCCCGGUGUAGCGGUGAAAUGCGCAGAUAUCGGGAGGAACACCAGUGGCGAAGGCGGCGAUCUGGGUCGAUACUGACGCUGAGGUGCGAAAGCGUGGGGAGCAACAGG
rnacentral:rRNA from 1 species